AACGAACGCUGGCGGCAUGCCUAACACAUGCAAGUCGAACGAGACCUUCGGGUCUAGUGGCGCACGGGUGCGUAACGCGUGGGAACCUGCCCUUAGGUUCGGAAUAACUCCCCGAAAGGGGUGCUAAUACCGGAUAAUGUCUUCGGACCAAAGAUUUAUCGCCUUAGGAUGGGCCCGCGUUGGAUUAGCUAGUUGGUAGGGUAAAAGCCUACCAAGGCGACGAUCCAUAGCUGGUCUGAGAGGAUGAUUAGCCACACUGGGACUGAGACACGGCCCAGACUCCUACGGGAGGCAGCAGUGGGGAAUAUUGGACAAUGGGCGAAAGCCUGAUCCAGCAAUGCCGCGUGAGUGAUGAAGGCCUUAGGGUUGUGAAGCUCUUUUACCGGGGAUGAUAAUGACAGUACCGGGAGAAUAAGCUACGGCUAACUCCGUG
rnacentral:rRNA from 1 species